rnacentral:lncRNA from 1 species
UUAUUUUGGAGACUUGGAUCAGGAUCAAGAUGUUGGAGGGUUGUUUUCUCCUGAGAUCUCUCUUCUUGGUGUGGAGUUGGCUACCUUCUCACUGUGUGCUCACAUGGCCCUUCUAUUAGGGAAGUUGCUACCUCACGCCUCCACCCAGCUUCCUGCCUACUUCUACCUUCAAGUCUACUAUAAUUAAAUAAUAAAAG